rnacentral:misc_RNA from 1 species
AAGGAUCAUUAUCGUACAAAAUGUGUGAGGCGUGCAAGGGCUGUCGCUGACUUUUAACGCAAAAGUCGUGCACGCCGGAGUGUGUCCUCUCGCAUAAAAUCCAUCUCACCCUUUUGUGCACCACCGCGUGGGCACCCUUCGGGAUCGAACCGGUCCAGGAGGGGGCUUGCGUUUUCACACAAACCCCUUUUUAAAAGUGUAGAAUGACCCCAUUUUUGCGAUAACACGCAAUCAAUACAACUUUCAACAACGGAUCUCUUGGCUCUC